UGUAUUUUGUAUUUCAGUAAAAGGUUGCUAUAAAAAUACACAUGCAAAUAGGGUAUCCGUUCCUUAUUUAACUCUAAUCAGUUAGAGUUAAAUAAGGAAUGAAACUGUUCCUUAUUUGUAGCUACCUUUUAUGACUCUUUUAAUUUUACCUUAACCAUUAAAAUACAUCAACUUAAUUCAAAAAACCUUUUCCAUAAACAGCAACUCAAAAUCAAAUUCAAAAAUUUUUUUAGGUGAUUCCAAUAUCAUUGGGCAACGUUUCUGAAAUUGACGAAAUAUAAUUGAAAAAAAAUUCACGUCAUUUACAGGCCAUAUAGUUCUAUUGGCAUAUGGUGUACAUGAUUUUGAAAAUGAUGCAUCUUGGACUUGGUUCUUUGAGUUUCUAAAAGAAGAAUGUGGUGAAAGAAACUGUCUUGAGAACGUACGAUCUUCUAAUUUAUCCUCUACCACAUAAAGAUGACUAGGUAAAACCACAGAAAAUAUUGAAGGAGGUAGUUUUGCCCCCAAAACACAAGCGGCCCUCUGGAAGACCUCCAAAGAAGGAUCAUGAAAAAUCCGGAAGAGAUAUGUUCGGAAAGAAAAACAAAAAUUAUUGUAGUUCAUGUGGGCUUAAAGGUCACAAUAAACGUUCAUAUAGGAAAUACAACAAAUGAAAAGUUUGUUGAUGUAUUUAGUCAAAAAAUAAUUGUUGAAUUUUUUCAUUGAGAAUUAUGUUUUUCUAAAUUUUGAACUUAUUAUUGAACUUGUUAUAGUUUUAA